rnacentral:rRNA from 1 species
CGUGUAGGCGGCCAUACAGGUCAGCUGUGAAAACUCGAGGCUCAACCUCGAGACGUCGGUUGAAACCGUUUGGCUAGAGUCCGGAAGAGGAGAGUGGAAUUCCCGGUGUAGCGGUGAAAUGCGCAGAUAUCGGGAAGAACACCCGUGGCGAAGGCGGCUCUCUGGGACGGUACUGACGCUGAGACGCGAAAGCGUGGGGAGCGAACA